CAAUAGCGUAUAUUAAAGUUGUUGCAGUUAAAAAGCUCGUAGUUGGAUUUCGGGUGGGACGCAGCGGUCUCGCAUUGCGUUUGUACUGCUGCAGCCCUCCUUCUUGCCGGGGGCGGCCUCUCGGACUUCACUGUCUGGGGGUCAGAAUCGGCGAUGUUACUUUGAGUAAAUUAGAGUGUUCAAAGCAAGCUUACGCUCUGAAUAUAAUAGCAUGGGAUAACACGACAGGACUCUGGCCUAUCGUGUUGGUCUAUAGGACCAGAGUAAUGAUUAAGAGGGACAGUCGGGGGCAUUCGUAUUCCGUUGUCAGAGGUGAAAUUCUUGGAUUUACGGAAGACGAACAUCUGCGAAAGCAUUUGCCAAGGAUGUUUNCAUUGA
rnacentral:rRNA from 1 species